rnacentral:rRNA from 1 species
GAUGAACGCUGGCGGCGUGCUUAACACAUUCAAGUCGAACGAGCAACGGUUGAAAGCUUGCUUUUGACCCGCGCGAGUGGCGGACGGGUGGGUAACGCGUGAGCAACCUGCCUUACUCAGGGGAAUAACACUGGGAAACCGGUGCUAAUACCGCAUGAUGCAUCGAGGUCGCAUGGCCAUGAUGCCAAAGGAGCAAUCCGGAGUAAGAUGGGCUCGCGUCUGAUUAGGUAGUUGGUGGGGUAACGGCCUACCAAGCCGACGAUCAGUAGCCGGACUGGGAGGUUGAACGGCCACAUUGGAACUGAGAUACGGUCCAGACUCCUACGGGAGGCAGCAGUGGGGAAUAUUGGGCAAUGGGCGAAAGCCUGUCCCAGCGACGCCGCGUGAAAGAAGAAGAUCUUCGGAUCGUAAACUUCUGUCAACAGGGACGAAGAAAGUGACGGUACCUGUGGAGGAAGCCACGGCUAACUACGUGCCAGCCGCCGCCGUAACAC